CUACGGGACGCUCCAGUGGGGAAUAUUGCACAAUGGGCGAAAGCCUGAUGCAGCAACGCCGCGUGAGGGAUGAAGGCCUUCGGGUUGUAAACCUCUUUUAGCAGGGAAGAAGCGAAAGUGACGGUACCUGCAGAAAAAGCACCGGCUAACUAGCGUGCCAGCAGCCGCGGUAAUACGUAGGGUGCAAGCGUUGUCCGGAAUUAUUGGGCGUAAAGAGCUCGUAGGCGGUUUGUCGCGUCUGCUGUGAAAACCUGAGGCUCAACCUCAGGCCUGCAGGGGGUACGGGCAAGGUAGAGGGCGGUAGGGGAGAUGGAAUUCCUGGUGGAGCGGUGGAAUGCGGAGAUAUCAGGAGGAACACCAAUGGCGAAGGCACAUCUCUGGGCCGUAACUGACGCUGAGGAGCGAAAGCGUGGGGAGCGAACAGGAUUAGAUACCCCGGUAGUC
rnacentral:rRNA from 1 species